GCCUGGAUGCGUGGCGGGCUAGAUCAUCUAGCUGCUGGAUAAUCCACUUCUCCUCGAAGAUGUUCACAUCCUACCCUGGAACCUGUGAAUGUUGAAUUACAUGAGAAGCAGAGGCUGGAGGAACACAGGUGAGAGAAGGCAGUGUCCCCGUGGCGGCAGGGACUGCAACAAAGCCACCAGGCCGAGGAGUGCUGGCAGCCACCAGGACCUGGAAGAGGCAAGAGCGAGCCAAUGGCCGGAGCACAGCCCUGCAGACCCCAGGGUUCUGGAGCAGCGAUACCAGUUUGAGACUUCUGGUUUCCAGAC